rnacentral:snoRNA from 1 species
AAGUCCAUGAUGAAAACAUUUUUGAAGUAUGUAUUUGGAACAUUCAUAUGCCUCAUAUAGUGAUUCACCAUCUUCUAGGGAAAAAGUGGUAAUAUUGUUUCUCAACUU